GACGAACGCUGGCGGCGUGCUUAACACAUGCAAGUCGAACGGAAAGGCCCUGCUUUUGUGGGGUGCUCGAGUGGCGAACGGGUGAGUAACACGUGAGUAACCUGCCCUUGACUGGGAUAACUUCGGGAAACCGGAGCUAAUACCGGAUAAUAUAUUGAACCGCAUGGUUCAAUAGUGAAAGACGGUUUUGCUGUCACUUAUAGAUGGAUCCGCGCCGCAUUAGCUAGUUGGUAAGGUAACGGCUUACCAAGGCAACGAUGCGUAGCCGACCUGAGAGGGUGAUCGGCCACACUGGAACUGAGACACGGUCCAGACUCCUACGGGAGGCAGCAGUAGGGAAUCUUCCGCAAUGGGCGAAAGCCUGACGGAGCAACGCCGCGUGAGUGAUGAAGGUCUUCGGAUCGUAAAACUCUGUUAUUAGGGAAGAACAAAUGUGUAAGUAACUAUGCACGUCUUGACGGUACCUAAUCAGAAAGCCACGGCUAACUACGUG
rnacentral:rRNA from 1 species